AGAGAGAAACACGCCCCGUGACUCAGAGGCUGUGCCAGGUGUCGGUGGGGCCAAGCCGCUGCCAGGCACAAGAGCAGUGGGAUGGAUCUAGUCCACAGGAAGGUCUUCUGGGGCAGGAGGAAAUCCAGGCUCGGAGGGGAAGAAGCUGGGAGCGAGUGUGGACAAAUCCUGCUGGCUGAGCCUCAGGGGCACCCGAGACAACAGCCCAGAGGACAUCCUUUGAACCUAAGGAGGAUUACCGGGUUUCUGAAAGGACUGCACACAAACAAAGGGCCCCAGAGUGUCAUUCCUCUGGACGAAACCUCCCAAGGCUUCCAACAGUUGGUGCAGGAGGGGAAGUUUCUGGAAGCCUACCUGAGCGUCUCCGCGUCAGCAUGGGAAGGGCAGGACUGCGGCCCCCAGUACCAGGCUCUGGCCCAGAGCAUGUGGCAAGUGGUCCAGCAGGCUCUGGAGGGCGUCAGGCUCGGCCAGGAGCUGGAGCUGAAGCUCCAGGCGGUGCUGGACACUGUGGAGUACACACAGGACCAGCCCCCGAGCCCGGAGGCCGGUACCCUCGAGGACGGCACAGUCGCCACCUGGGGCAGUCAGCUGGAGAGGCUGCUGAGAAAUGACGCUGAGGCCCGAGUGCCCACCUGGGACCCCAGGGACGAGCUGGGCCCUUUCCUGGAGAAGCUAAAGGAGGCUGUGAGACAGGGCCUGGGGUUGCUGAGGGCGAGCCGGCUGGGGGCCCGUCUCUGGACGAUCUACAGCACCUGCUUCCAGGAGGUCCUCCUCAGCCGCCUCUUGGAGCUCAAGCACUCCUGCGGCACCAGCUGGAACAGCUGCUGCGUGCUGUAUGCCUGGGGCAGGACGACCUUGUUUGGGCAGCUGGGCAGGGAGACGCUUCCGAAUGCACCUUCCACCUCCCAGAAGCCCACGGCCGGGUACCUCUUGGACUCCAUGAUGUUUGUGACCUGGAUGUCCCAAGUGCAGAAGAAGCUGGUGGGGCUGGUCCAGGUACCAGGACAAGGCUGUCCACUUCCUGCAGCAGAACGCCACUGCGGGGGCCUUCCCCGAGGUGCACCUGCUGGGAAACUGCUGCAUCCUCAGAAUCUGCUGAGGGGCCACUUCGGAAGGAAGGAGAGGGAUCUGGUCAAGGCUCUGCAGUCCCUGUGGCAGGGCCUGGAGGGCUGUCCCAGCCUGCACUCCACUCCCGUGUAUGAGAGCAUCAUGCAAAGUUUGCACAUGGUGGUCUUUGGGGAGUACGUCCAGGCCCUGGCCACCCACCUCAGGAUGCUGGCGCCCAGGAAGUGGGGGAGCCUGAGGACUCAGGUGGAGACGGACAUCUGGAAGUUGGACAACAUCUUCAGGAAGCACGGGGGUCCCGGCUUGGCCAUCCCAGAGGAACCCAUCCUGGGGAUCUUCCAGCUCAGUGAGAACAAGGGCAGGGAGACUGUGGAUGAUUGGCUGGCCUCCUUCAGGGACAGAUUCCCAGGUUAUCUGAGCAUGCAGGACCAGCCAUGCAGCUCUGUGGACUUGGAGGUUGAGGUCAAGGGAAGAUCCUGCUGCUGCUGCUGAUCCCCCAGCUCUGCACCAGGGUCUGGCAGAACCCUGACUGCCCUGAACAGAGGUGGAAGUGAGCAGUAGCUUCAGGGAACCUCGGGCUGUGGAAGUUGUGUGACUCCAGCAGCUACCUAAGGCAAAGGAUCUGGGUGCCCCUGAUCCCAGUGCCCACCCAGUGGCCACUUCAUAAAUGACAGCCUGAUAUUCAGGAGGAAGCCAAUCCUUCCGAAGUCUGGACUCUUCUAUCAGAAGGAAUGCCUGGGGCAUUUACCCUGGAACCCAGCCACCAAGCUAUAAGGUAGGCCAGGCCUUGUGGGAGGCCACGUGCAGGUGUCCCAGCCAGCGACUCUACUGAGGACCCAGCCAGGGCUAUGGACGUGAACCCCAGAUGUUUGAGUGAGGAGAGCUUCAAGAUUCCUACAGCCCCAGCUGCUGUCUGAUGUAUUAUCAGAAUUAACUUGUGUCUGCACACCUGGACACUUGCCUGGUGUGGAGACCCCCACACCUGGUGUCAGAAGAGCAGUCGCAGGAAAUGUCUUGGGUGGACGUUCAGGUACCGCUGCCUCCGGGCUACGCAAAUAAAUCGCAGCCGACAGGCCUCUGGUUAACUCUA
ensembl:lncRNA